AUAGCUCGAUUGAUUUACUUUGCUGUGAGAUUACAUAUGCAUAUAGUGUUAAUUCUAUAAAAAUGUAGUAUCAACUCACAAAGUUAUCAGGUUAAAUUAGCUUUACCAAUGAAUAAAAAUGUUGUUGCACAGCUAAUAAUGUUAUACCGUGGUCCCGCCACGGUAUCUAGAAAAAUUUUUAAUAUUUAGAUUCUUGCUUCCGCAGGAAUGAUAAAUUUAAUCAUGCAACAACAUUAACAGCAAACUAUAAUACAAAUCUAUCUUUUUAAAAGUUUGUAUUGCUAGCUUGGUGGUUAUAGCAUGAGUGAA
rnacentral:misc_RNA from 1 species